rnacentral:lncRNA from 1 species
CUAGUCCCUUUAAGUCCUUGCUUGAACUUUGGGACUGGAUUGCUUUGAGAUGUUCAAUCGCCGUAGAAGGUGAACUCUCCACAAGGUUCAGAGCAUGAGCAAAGGAAAGCCGAGCCUGUGCCAAGUGAGAAAGAGAAGAAGUAACACAGUUGAGAAGCUCCAGUAAAUGCAAGCCGUAGUUAAGAUACUCAUCGAGGGAAGCAACAUCCCAGAAGCUCAAGGGGUAGUCUAUAUCCCCAACCAGCUUCAGAAACGCCUUGUUGGUAACAGGAAGUAACUCAAAAAAUCGCUGAAUCCAUGAAAAAGACAAGAUUUCUGAACCAGGUUUUGGAUGCAACAACUGAUUCACACAAUUCGAAACAUCAGACCGAAAAGCCUGUAGAGAAGCUGACAAAGCAUCAACCUCUGCUUGGUGGUGGUGGUGGUGGUGGUGGUGGUGGUAGUGAUUUUCCAGCUUGUGGUAUAAUUUACUAAGCCUUUGUACCAAGAGUACCAU